rnacentral:rRNA from 1 species
AUGGAGAAGAUAGUUGACAUAUAUUGUGAUGUGAGUGAGCAUCAGCAAAGUGAGGAGCAUGAGCACCGCAUCCAUGGUCUGGAGCUGGAGGCCUACGUGAGCGUCAUCAAGGCGUUCCACGCCAAGGGGCCGCUGACCUGGGCCAGGCAGGAGCUGCUGUCCGACCUCCGCCUGCACCUCCACGUCUCCGGCGACGACCACCUGCAGCUGCAGUCAAAGCUUGAUGUUGAUUUUGGGUCUCGGUCAAAUUUUGAUUCUGAACUUGGGUCUCACUCAUCAGUUCCAACUUCCAAACUUAUUGGCUGAUUGCUAGUUUGUCACCGGUGAUAGAUCAUUGUAGUUGGGCGUGUCUAACGAUCAUUAGACUGAAUUUGAUUUGGGUCUCAGUCAAAUUUUGAUUUUGAUUAUUGUAGGCCUGCUCUGGUUCCAAAUCCCAAACUUAGCUUUAAAUUCUGUCUGUUUGGGAUAAGCUAACGCCUGAAAACUGAAGUGAUCCACUCAAAAGCCACUGCUCUCUCUCUCUCUCUCCCCUUCUGCUCUGUUUAUUCGCACCAAAUCGGAAGGCAGCAAAAAACCGACAAAAUUGGAAUCCAAAAGCCCCCCAAAAAUGCAUUGACAACUGAAGAUUGUCAUCUGCAAAAUAGUGGAAACUGAGGAUUGUCAUCUGC